GUCCCAUGAUGACAACAUCUCAUUAGAAGAUCCUUGUAUCUCUCCCAUGCUUUAUAAAGACUCUCACCAUCCUUUGGUUUGAAAGAAGUUAACUCAUUCCUAAAUUU